rnacentral:rRNA from 1 species
GAUGAACGCUGGCGGCGUGCCUAAUACAUGCAAGUCGAGCGAACGGACGAGAAGCUUGCUUUUCUGAUGUUAGCGGCGGACGGGUGAGUAACACGUGGAUAACCUACCUAUAAGACUGGGAUAACUUCGGGAAACCGGAGCUAAUACCGGAUAAUAUUUUGAACCGCAUGGUUCAAAAGUGAAAGACGGUCUUGCUGUCACUUAUAGAUGGAUCCGCGCUGCAUUAGCUAGUUGGUAAGGUAACGGCUUACCAAGGCAACGAUGCAUAGCCGACCUGAGAGGGUGAUCGGCCACACUGGAACUGAGACGCGGUCCAGACUCCUACGGGAGGCAGCAGUAGGGAAUCUUACGCAAUGGGCGAGAGCCUGACGGAGCAACGCCGCGUGAGUGAUGAAGGUCUUCGGAUCGUAAAACUCUGUUAUUAGGGAAGAACAUAUGUGUAAGUAGCUGUGCACAUCUUGACGGUACCUAAUCAGAAAGCCACGGCUAACUACGUG